UACGGGGGGGGCAAGCGUUGUUCGGAAUUACUGGGCGUAAAGGGCUCGUAGGCGGCCAACUAAGUCGGAUGUGAAAUCCCCAGGCUUAACCUGGGAACUGCAUCCGAUACUGGAUGGCUUGAAUCCGGGAGAGGGAUGCAGAAUUCCAGGUGUAGCGGUGAAAUGCGUAGAUAUCAGGAGGAACACCGGUGGCGAAGGCGGAUCUCUGGGCCUUACCUGACGCUGAGGCGCGAAAGCUAGGGGAGCAAACAGG
rnacentral:rRNA from 1 species